AUGGACGCCGAGGCCGGCGCCGCCGCCGCCCAGCAGCUUCCGUGGAGGCAGCACUACAGGAAUCUACUACUGCUAGCAUACCAGAGCUUCGGUGUUGUUUAUGGGGACCUAAGCACAUCACCUCUGUAUGUGUAUAAAAGUACAUUCUCAGGAAGGCUCCGGCAGUACCAAGAUGAACAGACAGUAUAUGGUGUACUUUCCCUGAUAUUUUGGACCUUCACACUUGUUCCUUUGCUCAAGUAUGUCAUUAUCGUAUUGAGCGCUGAUGACAAUGGCGAAGGUGGGCCAUUUGCUCUGUAUUCGCUCCUCUGCAGGCAUGCAAAGCUUAGCUUGAUUCCGAAUCAACAAGCAGCGGAUGAGGAGUUAUCUACAUACUACAGAGAUGGGUUCGCAGCUCAGCAUGAAUCUUCACCCUGGCUAAGAAGGUUUCUAGAGAAGCACAAAAUUGUCAAAACUGGACUUCUUGUUGUAGUUCUCUGUGCUGCUAGCAUGGUGAUCGGUGAUGGUGUCCUUACUCCAGCAAUCUCAGUCCUGUCAUCUAUGUCUGGGCUGCAAGUUCGAGCUACUGGUUUACAGGAACGUUCUGUGGUGCUUCUUUCAUGCAUUGUAUUGGUUGGUUUAUUUUCCUUGCAACACCGAGGUACUCAGAAGGUAGCAUUCAUGUUCGCACCAAUUGUCAUCAUCUGGCUCUUUUGCAUUGGUGGAAUUGGAUUGUACAACAUAGUUCAUUGGAACCCAAACAUAUACCAAGCAAUCUCUCCAUAUUACAUUGUUAAGUUCUUUAGGACAACCGGUACAGAUGGCUGGAUUGCUCUAGGAGGAAUACUACUUUCUAUGACAGGCAGUGAAGCUAUGUUUGCUGACCUCGGUCAUUUUACAAGUGCAUCUGUCAGGCUAGCUUUUAUUACCAUCAUAUAUCCAUGUCUUAUAUUGCAAUAUAUGGGCCAAGCAGCAUUUUUAUCAAAGAACAUGUUUCACACGCGCACAAGUUUUUAUGACUCCAUCCCAGGACCUGUAUUUUGGCCUGUAUUUGUGGUGGCCACUCUUGCUGCAGUUGUUGGAAGCCAGGCUGUCAUUUCAGCAACAUUCUCUAUUGUAAAGCAAUGCCAUGCUUUGGGAUGUUUCCCACGAGUGAAGAUUGUUCACACAUCGAGGUGGAUCCAUGGGCAGAUAUACAUUCCUGAAAUAAAUUGGAUCCUUAUGGUGCUAUGUGUAGCUGUCACAGUUGCAUUCGGUGAUACAACCCUUAUCGGAAAUGCCUAUGGUAUUGCUUGCAUGACUGUUAUGCUUGUUACAACAUUCUUGAUGUCAUUUAUCGUCAUCUUUGUUUGGCAAAAGAACAUAAUAUUUGCCUUGUUGUUUCUAUUAUUCUUCGGAUCCAUUGAAACCGUGUAUCUUUCCUCAUCCCUCAUGAAGGUUCAUCAGGGAGGAUGGGUGCCUCUUGUGCUUGCUUUCAUAUUCAUGUCUGUCAUGUUCGUUUGGCACUAUGGAACAAAGAAGAAGUACCAGUUUGAUCUUCAGAACAAAGUGUCAAUGAGAUCAAUCCUGUCUCUAGGUCCAAACCUCGGCAUAGUUCGGGUUCCGGGAAUUGGACUGAUUUACACAGAACUGGUGACUGGUGUGCCUGCCGUCUUCACACAUUUUGUCACUAAUCUCCCUGCCUUUCAUGAAGUCCUAGUGUUUCUUUGUGUUAAGUCAGUACCAGUGCCGUAUGUUCAACCAGAUGAGCGAUACCUUGUUGGUAGGAUUGGACCUAAAGCGUAUCGGAUGUACCGUUGCAUUGUCAGGUACGGUUACAAGGAUGUGCAGAGAGAUGAUGAAAAUUUUGAGAACAUGUUAGUUAUGAGCAUUGCAAGGUUCAUUAUGAUGGAAGCCGAGGAUGUCUCGUCUUCAGCAAGUUAUGAUAUUGCUAACGAGGGAAGAAUGGCUGUGAUAAGAACCACCGACGAUGCUGGCACCCCACUGGGCAUGAGAGAUCUGGGUGGCCUAGCUGAGUCCAUUUCUACCACGAGGAGCAGCAAAUCUGAGAGCCUUCGAAGCUUGCAGUCCUCUUAUGAGCAGGAAUCACCGAGUGCAGGCCGGAGGCGCCGUGUUCGCUUCGAGCUGCCAAAUGAGGACGCUAUGGAUCAGCAGGUGAAAGAUGAGUUAUUGGCACUCGUGGAGGCGAAACACGCAGGGGUUGCGUAUAUCAUGGGCCAUUCUUACAUCAAAGCUAGGAGGAGCUCCAAUUUCGUGAAGAAGUUUGCGAUCGAUGUUGCCUACUCUUUCCUCCGGAAGAACUGCAGAGGCCCAUCAGUCUCACUGCAUAUCCCUCAUAUUAGUCUGAUAGAAGUUGGUAUGAUCUACUAUGUGUAG
rnacentral:rRNA from 1 species